rnacentral:snRNA from 1 species
GAAACAGCUGUUGCCCCAUUGAUCACCAGUGUUUAUUUGAUGAUCUGGCUGGCGAGGCUUGCUUCCUCAUUGUUCCAUGUGUGCCCGUCAAAGACAUCCUCUUAGUCAAAAAGAAUAGCCUUCUGUGACAGAAGCACAUUUAUACUGUUCCUCCAUGAAGGGUGUAUGGGCAAAUCAGCUCCUUUGCUAGGACAAGUUUCCAAGGUCCAUUUGUACAAGUCUGUGGAGUAGUCAAGCUUUUAAAACUUUAGGUGUGUCCAAAUGAGAUACUGCUCCUGGUAGUCUGACUUUCUAA